CCUACGGGAGGCAGCAGUGAGGAAUAUUGGUCAAUGGGCUUACGCCUGAACCAGCCAAGUCGCGUGAGGGAAGACUGCCCUAUGGGUUGUAAACCUCUUUUGUCAGGGAGCAAUUGGCGCUACGUGUAGCGUUCCGAGAGUACCCGAAGAAAAAGCAUCGGCUAACUCCGUGCCAGCAGCCGCGGUAAUACGGAGGAUGCGAGCGUUAUCCGGAUUUAUUGGGUUUAAAGGGUGCGCAGGCGGAAGAUCAAGUCAGCGGUAAAAUUGAGAGGCUCAACCUCUUCGAGCCGUUGAAACUGGUUUUCUUGAGUGAGCGAGAGGUAUGCGGAAUGCGUGGUGUAGCGGUGAAAUGCAUAGAUAUCACGCAGAACUCCGAUUGCGAAGGCAGCAUACCGGCGCUCAACUGACGCUCAUGCACGAAAGUGUGGGUAUCGAACAGGAUUAGAUACCCGUGUAGUC
rnacentral:rRNA from 1 species